AUGGAGAAAACAACAUCAAUAGUGAGAAACUCAGUGAAGACACAGUGUUUGUUGCGGUGGUAUGCGUUGUUACAAGUGCGAGAUGACGAUGCUUGCAGCGGUCAUGAUUCAGAGAAGAUGAUUGAAGCAAUUAUUGCCGAGAGAAAAUUGAAGAGUGAACUCAGAAAGAAUUCGAAGAGUAGAAACAGAGAGAUGAGAGAGUUUUCUGUGAAUUUUUGUGGUGUGAUUCUUCUGAACGUGAAGAAUUAUUCAAGGUUUUGUGUAUUCUCUUGA